rnacentral:tRNA from 1 species
GGCCGGCUAGCUCAGCUGGUUAGAGUGUGGUGCUAAUAUCGCCAAAGUCAUGGGUUCAAACCCCAUGCUGGCCA